CCUACGGGGGGCUGCAGUGGGGAAUAUUGGACAAUGGGCGAAAGCCUGAUCCAGCCAUGCCGCGUGUGUGAAGAAGGCCUUCGGGUUGUAAAGCACUUUCAGUGGGGAAGAAAGCCUUGGGGCUAAUACCCUCGAGGAAGGACAUCACCCACAGAAGAAGCACCGGCUAACUCCGUGCCAGCAGCCGCGGUAAUACGGAGGGUGCGAGCGUUAAUCGGAAUUACUGGGCGUAAAGCGCGCGUAGGCGGUCUGAUAAGCCGGUUGUGAAAGCCCCGGGCUCAACCUGGGAACGGCAUCCGGAACUGUCAGGCUAGAGUGCAGGGGAGGAAGGUAGAAUUCCCGGUGUAGCGGUGAAAUGCGUAGAGAUCGGGAGGAAUACCAGUGGCGAAGGCGGCCUUCUGGACUGACACUGACGCUGAGGUGCGAAAGCGUGGGUAGCAAACAGGAUUAGAUACCCGUGUAGUC
rnacentral:rRNA from 1 species